rnacentral:rRNA from 1 species
AUUGAACGCUGGCGGCAGGCCUAACACAUGCAAGUCGAGCGAGGGACGGGCGGGUGAGUAAUGUAUGGGGGCUGCCCGUUAGAGGGGGAGACCUACAGGAAACGGUAGUGACUACCGCAUACUAUCGGAUAACGCAGAUGGGAUUAGCUAGUAGGUGAGGUAAUGGCUCACCUAGGGGACGAUCCCUAGCUGGUCUGAGAGAAUGAUCAGCCACACUGGGACUGAGACACGGCCCAGACUCCUACGGAGGCAGCAGUGGGGAAUAUUGCACAAUGGGCGCAAGCCGGAUGUAGCCAUGCCGCGUGUAUGAAGAAGGCCCUAGGGUUGUAAAGUACUUUCAGUCGGGAGGCGUUACCGACAGAAGAAGCACCGGCUAACUCCGUGCCAGCAGCCGCGGUAAUAC